rnacentral:lncRNA from 1 species
AUUUUGUCAUUUUUCUAUUAAAGUUACAGAAUUUCUUCAUGAGUGCAAAUUUUAAGGAUCAUUCAUUUCAUUGCACAGGUGCAACCCAGAGAUUAGAGUGGUAGAUAGUUUCAAAUGAGACUACUAGACUAAGGAAGGAGUGAACAUAUGAUUAUUAUCAUACAGGUGUUAAAAGUUUCUAACGUUGUGUCAAAAUUAUAAUGUUGAUCAUUGAAUGACAUAUAUUUGUGAAACAAGAGCUUAGAGGAAGGCAUAAAAGACUAUUUAUAACCCAUAUUCUGGUUUCUGUAUGAAAAAUGAUUGACAAGUUCCUAUGAAAAACAUAGAAGACAAGUUAGAUAUGGAACAAAUAUAUGGUGCAUAAUUGUGCCACAAAUUUUGAAAACAUGUUAUUUAUCAGUGAUUUUUUGAUUUAUUUUAUUUUCAUGGUGCUGUUUUUAUGAGACCUUAAUACUUUAAACAUUGUCAACUUAUUUUUCUUUUAUUUUGCAUGAUUGUUUAAUAUACCAAUUAUGCAAAUUCAGCUCAUGGAAGUUCAUUUGUGAACACUAUUGAUCCCUAACUUAUAAAUAUUCUAUUUUGUUUAAUAAUAAUUGGAUUUCUCCAUCUUCUUAUCUACAUAAUAGUUAGUGUAUGAUGUUGGAGAAAAAUAGUAGUAAUUUCAUAGAAUCUGUUUGUUCAGGAGUAAAGGAAAGAAAGGGCAAGUAAACAUCAAGAACAGCUUAGGAGGACUCAUCUUAGAAGCCACUGGAGAGGACCUACCCCUGGGCUACUCCGGUGAUCUGCUCAAUUUCCAAAUAUUCUCAACUCCCUUCAACAUAUCACUUCUUACAUGGCUUCAUUUUAAAUUCCACUUUUGAUUAAAAUGUUCAAUCUCCUUAAACACUUUAUAUUUUAAAUAUUU